AUUUCAUUGUCUUUGAAUACUAAUUCCACCAUCUGUGUCAUUGGUGGGUCUUUUUCUAUUGACUCUCUUUCUCCUCCUGGUUAUGGGUCAUAUUUCCUGAUUCUUGGCAUGUCUAGUAUUUUUUUUUUUGGAUCCUGAACAUUGAGUUGUUAGAUCAUUGAGUAUCUGAACUUAGCUAUCCUCCUUUAAAGAAUGUUGGUUUUGUUCUGGAAGCUAGUUAAAGUCCUGGAAGAUCAGAUUGGUUUGAUCCUUUCAUGGCUUCUUUUUAAGUGUUUAAGGGUAUAUCUGGAGUAGUCUCUAUUCUGGGCUAGUUUAGCUCUACUACUAUGGUGUGACCCUCUGGGUCUCUUGAACAGUCACUUUGGAUGCUGGUCUCUUGAAGGCAUAAUGUGAAAAGAUCCAUGGCUUGACCUUGACCUGAAAGAUCCUUGGCAAGAGAUUCAUAAAAUCCUCUCUCCACAUGGUACAGCUUGAGACCAAAGAGUUGCUGUGAGGGAACAUGGAACUGAGGUUGCCUGCAGUUGCAUAGAGGGACCAAACGUAUGGCUGGAUGCUGAGAAACAGUUAGAAUGCUCCUGUGAAGAAAAGUGGCUGGCGAAUAGUGGGUCAUUCAUUACCAGACAUUGAGCCCGUGCCCCCUCUUCAGGCCACUAUCAACGAGGCCUGUGAGGGUCAAACAGUGUGCCUUUCAGAUGCGUGAAGACCCUCAGGAACCAAGGCAUGAUGGAUGUGUCUGGUGGAGAAGAGACCAUUACGAGCCACCCGUUGUUUAAGAACUCUCUCCUGUCCCAUUUGCCACCAAAAGUUAUUUCCUCUGUGUUGGUGGGAGUCAUAAAUGUGUCUACUUGGAAUCACAUACGGGAAGUUGCAGAACAUUCACGCAGCUUUUCAGGUCUUCACCCCCACCGUCAGCUUACACCAGCUGCUUCUCAUCACCUAGCCCUGGGGUCCUUCCCAUGA
rnacentral:lncRNA from 1 species